GACGAACGCUGGCGGCGUGCUUAACACAUGCCAGUCGAACGCUGAAGCUCAGCUUUUGUUGGGUGGAUGAGUGGCGAACGGGUGAGUAACACGUGAGUAACCUGCCCCCUUCUUUGGGAUAACGCCCGGAAACGGGUGCUAAUGCUGGAUAUUCACUGGUCUUCGCAUGGGGGUUGGUGGAAAGGGUUUUUCUGGUGGGGGAUGGGCUCGCGGCCUAUCAGCUUGUUGGUGGGGUGAUGGCCUACCAAGGCUUUGACGGGUAGCCGGCCUGAGAGGGUGACCGGUCACAUUGGGACUGAGAUACGGCCCAGACUCCUACGGGAGGCAGCAGUGGGGAAUAUUGCACAAUGGGCGCAAGCCUGAUGCAGCGACGCCGCGUGAGGGAUGGAGGCCUUCGGGUUGUGAACCUCUUUCGCUCAUGGUCAAGCCGCAACAAUGGUUGUGGUGAGGGUAGUGGGUAAAGAAGCGCCGGCUAACUACGUG
rnacentral:rRNA from 1 species